UACGGAGGGUGCAAGCGUUAUCCGGAUUCACUGGGUUUAAAGGGUGCGUAGGUGGGAAUGUAAGUCAGUGGUGAAAUCUCCGUGCUUAACACGGAAACUGCCAUUGAUACUAUGUUUCUUGAAUUUUCUGGAGGUUAGCGGAAUAUGUCAUGUAGCGGUGAAAUGCUUAGACAUGACAUAGAACACCAAUUGCGAAGGCAGCUAACUACAGGGAUAUUGACACUGAGGCACGAAAGCGUGGGGAUCAAACAGG
rnacentral:rRNA from 1 species